UACGUAGGGUCCGAGCGUUGUCCGGAAUUAUUGGGCGUAAAGGGCUCGUAGGCGGUUUGUCGCGUCGGGAGUGAAAACCAGGUGCUUAACACCUGGCCUGCUUUCGAUACGGGCAGACUAGAGGCAUUCAGGGGAGAACGGAAUUCCUGGUGUAGCGGUGAAAUGCGCAGAUAUCAGGAGGAACACCCGUGGCGAAGGCGGCCCACUGGGCCGGUACUGACGCUGAGGCACGAAGGCGUGGGGAGCGAACGGG
rnacentral:rRNA from 1 species